rnacentral:rRNA from 1 species
UGCCAGCCGCCGCGGUAAUACGGAGGGUGCGAACGUUAAUCGGAAUUACUGGGCGUAAAGCGCACGUAGGCGGUUUGUUAAGUGGGAUGUGAAAGCCCCGGGCUCAACCUGGGAAUUGCAUUCCAAACUGACAGACUAGAGUGCAGUAGAGGGAGGUAGAAUUUCCUGUGUAGCGGUGAAAUGCGUAGAUAUAGGAAGGAAUACCAGUGGCGAAGGCGGCCUCCUGGACUGACACUGACGCUGAGGUGCGAAAGCGUGGGGAGCAAACAGGAUUAGAUA